ensembl:lncRNA
GUUUUGUAGCGUACCGCCCCCGUCCCCCUUCCCCGCCCCGUACGGUUGCAGGUUGUUGCUACACGCGGAGCCGCUAAUGAGCGAUACAAUCAGAUAUUGUUGCAGGGAAUUUGAGAAUUCAAGGAGAGACACGCCACUAGUGUUGUUCUGUAAAUAAUUAAUACCACUGGUCAGCAGGUGGGUGUGGACCGCGCCGGCUGUAAUCAUUGGCAUUUAAAGCUUUAAGUGGACAGUGGCUGGAGGCCGGUUUUCUACCUUAAUGAGAGCAGCUCUACAUGGGUGCAGUACUGACUGGUGCCAGAAGAGGGCAUCAGAUCCUUUGGACCUGGUGGUGUAGCCAAAAACCGUCCUGCAGUUGCUGGGAACUGAACCUGGGUCCUCUGCAAGAGCAUCCAGUAUCUUUAACCAAAGAGCCGUCUCCCUAGUCCCCAUUCUCAGUAUUAGAGGAAGGAACGGGUGUAGGAUAGCUGAAUAUUUAUUUGCUUAGGUUUUUUUUAGUGGCAGAGCCCCCGCUUGAUUCCCUGUGCUGUGUGGCUCCGUCACUGUUCUGUGCAAGGCGAUGUGUAAUACAUGUGCAAGGUGGGGGUGGGGCAAGGCAGGGCCAAGGAAGAAAAAAGUCCCUGUCUUCAUGGAGUUUAUACUAUAGACAGGGACAGUGUUAAGAAAAUCAAAGGAAACUAUUUAUUUAUUUAUUUAUUUAUUUAUUUAUUUAUUUAUGUGGCCUUGCUCAUGCUUGCUCAUGCUUGGUGUAUUAGUCAUUCUUCUGUCGGUGUGAUAGUUACCUGAUGAAGGUAACUUAAAGGCUGGGUAGUGGCAGGAGCCACGUGACUUCUUUGGGGAAGGAGACCUUGAGCAUGAAUGUCUCUCCUUGUGGCAAGACCCUGGAGAUACUGACCCACUUGGCAAAUACCGGUGGACAGUUCGCUGCAUGAUUUCUGGGCAUGACCCGGGAACAUAUGUGCUACCUAGUCUCCUUGCUUUAAUCAUGCUAGCCACACUGCUGACCUCAAUGAGUCACAGUAGGUCUUAUAGUUUAAUAUUACAUAUUUGCAUAACUGCUCUGGGAAGAAUGAUUUUAACCACAAGAGUCUUGGGAAAAUGCUAAUAAGUAGAUGAUAUCAGGAGUUAAUGGGAACAGUCUAGAGACAGGGGAUGAAGCAGAAUCUUCUACUUCAUAGAAACCCACAGCUGUCUCAUUAAUACCCUAAGAAGUUAAGGGAGAUAGAUAUAAGAACGAGAGAUAAACAGUGCCAACUAUUAAGAAUAAGCUUUAAGCUGGGUGGUGGUGGCACACACCUUUAAUCCCAGCCCUCGGGAGGCAGAGGCAGGAGGAUCUCUGAGUUCAAGGCCAGCCUGGUCUCCAGAGUAAGUUCCAGGACAGCCAGAGCAGUUACACAGAGAAACCCUGUCUUGAAAAACCAAGAGAAAAAAACAGCAAUAAGUUUUCAAGUUAGGUUGCCUAUAGGAUAAAAGGAAAAACCUGGUAUAUCCCCAGAGGAGAUGGAGUAGUACAGAGUGUAGAACGGAUUGAUCCAGCUUCGGCUAGUGAGUUGAUUGUGAGAAGCUAGAUUCCACCGGAUUAAAGAAACAAAAGAAGCCUCCAGAGAGUGUGACCAAGUUCUCUGAAGUUACACAGCUUGUGCAUAGUCAGGAUUUGAACUCAGAUGCUGGCUCAGAGCUACAGUGCCCUGCUCGCCUUACACAGGACUUCGUGCUGCAGGACUUCUCAUGACCUCUGACGUGCUAUUACAUGUGAUCCUCUAAAGUGUUC